UCGGAUAUGGUGCAAAGGAUAGCGCGGCCUUGGAUACUCUCCCACGGUCUGGGAUGACAGGCAGAUCGAGGUUCAAUUCCUCGUAUCCGUA